UGAAACCAAAAUGGUUGCUCUCAUGACCAA
rnacentral:sRNA from 1 species